rnacentral:rRNA from 1 species
AUUGAACGCUGGCGGCAGGCUUAACACAUGCAAGUCGAGCGGGGUGAUGGUGCUUGCACUAUCACUUAGCGGCGGACGGGUGAGUAAUGCUUAGGAAUCUGACUAUUAGUGGGGGACAACAUCUCGAAAGGGAUGCUAAUACCGCAUACGUCCUCCGGGAGAAAGCAGGGGAUCACUUGUGACCUUGCGCUAAUAGAUGAGCCUAAUUCGGAUUAGCUAGUUGGUGGGGUAAAGGCCUACCAAGGCGACGAUCUGUAGCGGGUCUGAGAGGAUGAGCCGCCACACUGGGACUGAGACACGGCCCAGGCUCCGCCGGACGGCAGCAGUGGGGAAUAUUGGACGAUGGGGGGAACCCUGAGCCAUCCAUGCCGCGUGUGUGAAGAAGGCCUUAUGGUUGUAAAGCACUUUAAGCGAGGAGGAGGCUCUUUUGGUUAAUACCCAAGAUGAGUGGACGUUACUCGCAGAAUAAGCACCGGCUAACUCUGUGCCAGCCGCCGCCGUAA